AUUGAACGCUGGCGGAAUGCUUUACACAUGCAAGUCGAACGGCAGCACGGGAGCUUGCUCCUGGUGGCGAGUGGCGAACGGGUGAGUAACAUAUCGGAACGUAUCCAAUAAUGGGGGAUAACGAGUCGAAAGAUUCGCUAAUACCGCAUACGCCCUGAGGGGGAAAGCUGGGGAUCGCAAGACCUGGCGUUAAUGGAGCG
rnacentral:rRNA from 1 species